GACGAACGCUGGCGGCGUGCUUAACACAUGCAAGUCGAACGGAAAGGCCCUGCUUUUGUGGGGUGCUCGAGUGGCGAACGGGUGAGUAACACGUGAGUAACCUGCCCUUGACUUUGGGAUAACUUCAGGAAACUGGGGCUAAUACCGGAUAGGAGCUCCUGCUGCAUGGUGGGGGUUGGAAAGUUUCGGCGGUUGGGGAUGGACUCGCGGCUUAUCAGCUUGUUGGUGGGGUAGUGGCUUACCAAGGCUUUGACGGGUAGCCGGCCUGAGAGGGUGACCGGCCACCUUGGGACUGCGGUACGGCCCAGACUCCUACGGGAGGCAGCAGUGGGGAAUCUUGCACAAUGGGCGGAAGCCUGAUGCAGCAACGCCGCGUGCGGGAUGACGGCCUUCGGGUUGUAAACCGCUUUCGCCUGUGACGAAGCGUGAGUGACGGUAAUGGGUAAAGAAGCACCGGCUAACUACGUG
rnacentral:rRNA from 1 species